UACGGAAGGGGCAAGCGUUGUUCGGAAUCAUUGGGCGUAAAGGGUUCGUAGGCGGUGUGGCAAGUCGGGAGUGAAAUCUCUGGGCUCAACCCAGAGUCUGCUUCCGAAACUGCUGUGCUUGAGUGUGGGAGAGGCGCGUGGAAUUGCAGGUGUAGCGGUGAAAUGCGUAGAUAUCUGCAGGAACACCCGUGGCGAAAGCGGCGCGCUGGACCACUACUGACGCUGAGGAACGAAAGCUAGGGGAGCAAACAGG
rnacentral:rRNA from 1 species